GCUGGGCAUGGUGGCACAUGCCUGUAAUCCCAGAGGCUUGGGAGGCUGAAGCAGGAAGAUUGCAAAUUCCAGGCCAGCCUCAGCAAUUUAGCCAGGCCCUAAGCAACUCAGUCACUUAGGGCCUGGCUAAGUUGCUGAGGCUGGCUUUGAACUCAUGAUCCUCCUGCCUCAG
rnacentral:sRNA from 1 species